UCAGUACAAUUUGUGCUUUAAGUAUAUUGUAAUUGUUGAGCUUUAUAUGUGUUGAAAAUUGUUGGGAUUUUCCCUCUUUUAAGUUACAUUCACGACUCAUUGUGUGUACUAAGUUGCAUGCAAUGUUGCAAAUCAUAGUACUGUGUUGCUUGUGUUGUGGCAUUGUAGAUUUAUAAUGGUGCAUACGAAGUUCUCUUCGGUGUCUAGGUCUCCUUCGGAGUGUGCUUCUGCUUCAAAGGGGAAAUCUAGGAUGAGCCCAAAGGAAGUUGCAAUGAAAAAGUCGAAGUUAAAGGGGAAAGGGAAGAAGACGAACUUUACAAUUCAAGAUAAUGGGAUACAAUAUGUUAUUCCUGUUAGAGAGCACGAGACAGCAAAACUUAACACGAAUAACAAGUAUGAGCAAAUUAGUGAUUUACUAGAAAUAUUAUCUGUAAAGCAGUUUGAUGACUUUCGUGCUUCUUGGAAGAAUUAAUUUUGCGAAUCGGGAAGUUUAUGUGUAUAACACCUUAAAAUGUGAUGGUGUGAAGGAGAUUCUUGUAAAAAAUUUGCGUCCAUUUUUCAAGUUACUGCCUUUUUAUAUGAGGAUCACUGGCUUCUACGAACGUGAUGAUAUUGACUUCACAUCCAAGGCUUAUUUGAACAAGUCAGAUGCCGAUCUUCUUGGACUAGUAUUGCAUCAUGACUGCGUUAAGUCAUCAUCUAUUGAUAGUGGUAUGUACAUGAUCUCUUUUGCUGAGUAUCUUGCUGAUAAGAAGGAAAUUCCGCAAGGAGACUUGGAUAUUAGCACUCAUAGAAGCAGACUUUCUUUUCUGUUUUACUCAUAUGGCAUGGCAAAGCAGAUUUAUGGCUGCGAGAGCGAGGGAGAGGAUAAAAAAGGAGAUGAGAAAGCAAUAAAGACACCAACGAAGAAGAGAAAGACGAGAUCUAUGAAAUGAUUUGCCUGUGUUAAUAGUAGUUAGGGAUUUAACUUGAUUUGA